rnacentral:rRNA from 1 species
CGUGUAGGCGGUUUGUUAAGUCUGAUGUGAAAGCCCCGGGCGUCAACCUGGGAAGUGCAUUGGAUACUGGCAGACUUGAAUACGGGAGAGGGUAGUGGAAUUCCUGGUGUAGGAGUGAAAUCCGUAGAUAUCAGGAGGAACACCGGUGGCGAAGGCGGCUACCUGGACCGAUAUUGACGCUGAGACGCGAAAGCGUGGGGAGCAAACAGGAUUAGAUACCCUGGUAGUCCACGCCGUAAACGAUGAGUACUAGGUGUUGCGGGUAUUGACCCCUGCAGUGCCGCAGCUAACGCAUUAAGUACUCCGCCUGGGAAGUACGGUCGCAAGACUAAA